rnacentral:rRNA from 1 species
UACGAAGGGGGCUAGCGUUGCUCGGAAUGACUGGGCGUAAAGGGCGCGUAGGCGGAUGGCACAGUCAGAUGUGAAAUUCCCGGGCUUAACCUGGGGGCUGCAUUUGAUACGUGUGAUCUAGAGUGAGGAAGAGGGUCGUGGAAUUCCCAGUGUAGAGGUGAAAUUCGUAGAUAUUGGGAAGAACACCGGUGGCGAAGGCGGCGACCUGGCCCUUGACUGACGCUGAGGCGCGAAAGCGUGGGGAGCAAACAGG